CAGCAGCCGCGGUAAUACAGAGGGUGCGAGCGUUAAUCGGAUUUACUGGGCGUAAAGCGUGCGUAGGCGGCUUCUUAAGUCGGAUGUGAAAUCCCUGAGCUUAACUUAGGAAUUGCAUCGAUACUGGGAAGCUAGAGUAUGGGAGAGGAUGGUAGAAUUCCAGGUGUAGCGGUGAAAUGCGUAGAGAUCUGGAGGAAUACCGAUGGCGAAGGCAGCCAUCUGGCCUAAUACUGACGCUGAGGUACGAAAGCAUGGGGAGCAAACAGGAUUAGAUACCCCGGUAGUCCCUGUCUCUUAUACA
rnacentral:rRNA from 1 species